AGCAGCCGCGGUAAUUCCAGCUCCAAUAGCGUAUAUUAAAGUUGUUGCAGUUAAAAAGCUCGUAGUUGAAUUUCGGGAUCAAAGAAUCGGUCAUGCCUUGGUAUGUACUGGUUUUAUUGGUUCUCACCUUCUAAAGAACCAUGAUGUCAUUCAUUUGGAUGUUAUGGGGAAUUUAGGAACUGUUACCUUGAAAAAUUAGAGUGUUUAAAGCAAGCUUACGCUUGAAUACAUUAGCAUAGGAAUAAUGAAAUAGGACAUUCAGUAUUCUAUUUUGUUGGUUUCUAGGAUUCGAUGUAAUGGAUUAAUAGGGAUAGUUGGGGGCAUUAGUAUUCAAUUGUCAGUAGGUGAAAUUCUUAGGAUUUAUUGAAAGACUAACUACUGCGAAAGCAUUUGCCAAGGAUGUUUUACAGUUAAUCAAGAACGAAAGUUAGGGGAUCGAAGACGAUCAGAUACCGUCGUAGUCUUAACCAUAAACUAUGCCGACUAGGGAUCGGAUGAUGUUAAUUUUUAAUGACUCAUU
rnacentral:rRNA from 1 species